rnacentral:rRNA from 1 species
UUCCUACGGGACGCAGCAGUGGGGAAUAUUGCACAAUGGGGGAAACCCUGAUGCAGCGACGCCGCGUGAGUGAAGAAGUAUUUCGGUAUGUAAAGCUCUAUCAGCAGGGAAGAAAAUGACGGUACCUGAGUAAGAAGCCCCGGCUAACUACGUGCCAGCAGCCGCGGUAAUACGUAGGGGGCAAGCGUUAUCCGGAUUUACUGGGUGUAAAGGGAGCGUAGACGGCGAUGCAAGUCUGAAGUGAAAGCCCGGGGCUCAACCCCGGGACUGCUUUGGAAACUGUAUGGCUGGAGUGCUGGAGAGGC